rnacentral:rRNA from 1 species
UGAGUAACACGUGAGUGACCUGCCUUUUAGACUGGAACAACUUACCGAAAGGUGAGCUAAUGCCGGAUGAGUUAUAUAAGUGCAUGUUUAUAUAGGAAAAGUUGGGGAGACCUGACGCUGAAAGAUGGACUCGCGUCCCAUUAGCUAGUUGGUAGGGUAAUGGCCUACCAAGGCGACGAUGGGUAGCCGGCCUGAGAGGGUGGCCGGCCACACUGGGACUGAGACACGGACCCAGACUCCUACGGAAGGCAGCAG